AAAAAAGAUUUAACAUGGUAAUAAAAUAUGUUGUGUCCAGGGGAUGGAGGGAGUUUAUUGAAGUCUUUUUGGGCUCAUAUGGGAAAUCAUUUAAAAUAUAAACUUGAUAUUCAGUCUAAGGAAACUGCAGAGCAACAGAAGAACCAACAAUAUCUCCUGUUUUCUCCUUUAAUGAGCCGACUCUUCUUGUGCUUUCAGACCAAAGAACUACAGACUCUUCACAACCUGCUCAAACUCUUGGUACAGGACCUCACCACACGGGUCAAGAAGGUUUCCGUCUCAUUUCUACUCUGAAGCUCACCUUCUCCUGCUCAAACUGCUGACAAAUGUUUCUGCUGCUCUAAAGUCUGGUCUCCAGAACUUCCUAAAAACUUUCAAAGUCUCUCCUGCUGCAGGUUGCUUUGUAGAACUGUUGCAGAAAACCUCACUAAACCACAUGGAGGGGCCUCAAGAUAGUCGUCCAAAUGAAACCGUACAAAAACCAAACUAGCACAACCCAAAUGCUAAAGUCUCCUGCAGCCUACCAGAGAACCUCUGAGAACAGAGAAUCAGGACAGGAACUCUUACCUUCUGGACAACCAACGUUGGUUCACAAGAAUACAGAAUGUGUCUGACCAAAAACCUCUAAAGACUCACUACAGCCAAGAUAAAGACACAACUCAGCUGCACCAAAUCCACUAAUCACUGCACACAUUAGCACCAUGUGCUAACUGUGGCUAAAGAAUCACCUUUAUCAGGACGACUAUCCAGUACAAAGCCCUAAAACACACCAAGAAACACAUUAAAGACGAUUUUACUGCUGGAAGCUGCAAGCCAACGCCUAAAGAACAACUAAAGCAACAGAGCCAAACCCGGUUCAGUAGUGGAGAAGCAGAGGAAAUGUUUGGCUGCAGCCACAUAAAGCAGGAAGACACUGAGCUGCUCAGGUGUUCCUGAUAACACCAAGCAGCCACCUGGACAGCCAAUGCGAACACAGCUUACUGGAAGUCCAGAGGGCUGGGUUAGUGAAGGAAAUUUAAAGUUGAAGCAGAAAGUUAACAAAGAAAGUUGAAAACCACCUUCUGAUACCUGAAAUCUCUGAGUUUUCACACAAAGAACACCUGAACAUGUCAAACUGGUUUCAUAGUAGAACCAUCAUUGUAAAAACGUCAUAGUAUGGUGUGUUGCUCAAAAAACAUUAGGACCCGGCUGUCAGGGGACAAACAUGUAAGAAACAUGAGAACAGAGAGAACCCAACCAGUAGAGCCGCGAUUCCACAAGCACCUACUCGGCGCGGUACGGUUCGCCACUAUUCUAUUUGACUCGGCUCGUCUCGGUCUAGUUGUUUUUCCAUAUAGCCUCAUCGUGGGUGGAGUCGUCAUAGCGCAGCGAGCCGAAAGUCCCUUAACGUCAUUUGUGUGCGACACAAACGCAACACAACGGAGGCGAUGGUUCACCUGCUGCUCGGUCUGUGGCUUUCGGUCAGAUUCAAAGUAAUAGAAGAGUCGGAGAAAGCUGAGAACGGCGAGUCGAAACACUCAGGAGACACACGGGAGAGUUUGGGAGGCGAGCAGCAGUAUCAAGCCGAAGACAAGAGGAUAUGAACUCGACGACAUAUGAGGAUGCUCUCUGAUGAGACUUCAUGGGAUUUACCUGAAGCAGCAGCACAUGAGCCUGCAGUGGCACAAGGUGUAGAGGAGGAGGACAGAGAUGUACAGGAUGCACUGAUGCACUACGUGUCAUGCAAAGUUAUUCUUCUUGUUAUACUUCUGUUUUUCGGUCCCCGGACCGCUAUUGUUUUCUUUAAUGCAAUUCUGACAAUAAACUUUUGUAGAUGUGUCUA